rnacentral:rRNA from 1 species
UACGUAGGGGGCAAGCGUUGUCCGGAAUUAUUGGGCGUAAAGCGCGCGCAGGCGGCUAUGUAAGUCUGGUGUUUAAACCAUGGGCUCAACUCAUGGUCGCACUGGAAACUGUGUAGCUUGAGUGCAGAAGAGGAGAGUGGAAUUCCACGUGUAGCGGUGAAAUGCGUAGAUAUGUGGAGGAACACCAGUGGCGAAGGCGACUCUCUGGGCUGUAACUGACGCUGAGGCGCGAAAGCGUGGGGAGCAAACA